UACGUAGGGGGCUAGCGUUGUCCGGAAUCAUUGGGCGUGAAGAGCGCGUAGGCGGCCAGAUAAGUCCGGUGUGAAAGUCAAAGGCUCAACCUUUGAAUGCCGCUGGAAACUGUCUGGCUAGAGUCCGGGAGGGGCGAGUGGAAUUCCUGGUGUAGCGGUGAAAUGCGUAGAUAUCUGGAGGAACACCGGUGGCGAAGGCGGCAUCCUGGACCGGUAUUGACGCUGAGGCGCGAAAGCUAGGGGAGCAAACGGG
rnacentral:rRNA from 1 species